AACGAACGCUGGCGGCAGGCUUAACACAUGCAAGUCGAGCGCAACCUUCGGGUUGAGCGGCAGACGGGUGAGUAACGCGUGGGGAUAUGCCCAGAGGUGGGGAAUAACUCAGGGAAACUUGAGCUAAUACCGCAUAAGCCCUUCGGGGGAAAGAUUUAUUGCCUUUGGAUUAACCCGCGUCAGAUUAGCUAGUUGGUAGGGUAAUGGCCUACCAAGGCGACGAUCUGUAGCUGGUCUGAGAGGAUGAUCAGCCACACUGGGACUGAGACACGGCCCAGACUCCUACGGGAGGCAGCAGUGGGGAAUAUUGGACAAUGGGCGCAAGCCUGAUCCAGCCAUGCCGCGUGAGUGAUGACGGCCUUAGGGUUGUAAAGCUCUUUUAACAGGGACGAUAAUGACGGUACCUGUAGAAUAAGCCCCGGCUAACUUCGUGCCAGCCGCCGCCGUAAAAC
rnacentral:rRNA from 1 species